AGAGUUUGAUCCUGGCUCAGGACGAACGCUGGCGGCGGGCUUAGCACAUGCAAGUCGAACGAGAAAGGGUCCUUCGGGACCUGAGUACAGUGGCGCACGGGUGAGUAACGCGUAGGCAACCUACCCUCAGGCGGGGAAUAACCACGGGAAACCGUGGCUAAUACCGCAUGACUGUCCGAACCCCGCAUGGGGAUCGGAUCAAAGGCUUCGGCCACCUGAGGAUGGGCCUGCGUCGGAUUAGCUUGUUGGUGAGGUAAUGGCUCACCAAGGCAACGAUCCGUAGCUGGUCUGAGAGGAUGAUCAGCCACACUGGCACUGAGACACGGGCCAGACUCCUACGGGAGGCAGCAGUGAGGAAUCUUGCGCAAUGGAGGAAACUCUGACGCAGCCACGCCGCGUGCAGGAAGACACCCCUCAGGGGCGUAAACUGCUUUUAUACGGGAAGAACACCCUACUCGGUAGGGUCUGACGGUACCGUACGAAUAAGGACCGGCUAACUCCGUGCCAGCAGCCGCGGUAAUACGGAGGGUCCAAGCGUUGUCCGGAAUCACUGGGUGUAAAGGGUGUGUAGGCGGGCCUGCAAGUCAGAGGUGAAAGCCCCCGGCCUAACCGGGGAAUUGCCUUUGAGACUGCAGGUCUUGAGUCCUGGAGGGGUCACUAGAAUUCGUGGUGUAGCGGUGAAAUGCGUA
rnacentral:rRNA from 1 species